rnacentral:lncRNA from 1 species
ACCUCGGCCUCCCAAAGUGCUAGGAUUACAGGCGUGAGCCACUGCUCCUGGCCAGAAGUCUAAUAUAGCAUAUUUUCACCAAGUGAAGAAAGUCUUGAAGAGUCUAUUGACUGAGGAUAGUAGAACCCUUUAUAAUCUAGAAUCCAGAGACUGAGUCUUACUGCCAUCUACCCUGAAGCAAGACUUCAAGACCUUGAACAUUGGGUUCAUAGUCUCACAACUUAGAAGGGCCUAUCCAAACUCUUUCAAUUGUAAACUCAUAGGAGGUCUUAAGCAAAGAUCGACUUAUAACUGCUCCUAAUCAAAGUGUAGAUGACCUGCAACUUGAAGGUUUGCUCCCAGGUUACAAUCCUCAAGCUUUGCCUCAAUAAACUGUCUACUUAUAUUCAUGUUGCCUUAGCUUUAUUUCUUUUA